rnacentral:rRNA from 14 species
UGAAGCCUCGGGAUUGUGACUGUUCUGCUUUAUUGUGGUCGGUUGCGAGAACUUGUCUAAACCUUAUCAUUUAGAGGAAGGUGAAGUCGUAACAAGGUUUCCGUAGGUGAACCUGCGGAAGGAUCAUU